CACUCUCUCUGAUGAUAAACUGUAUGUAUGGGUUGCCUUUGAUCACUUUUGUAUGUAUCUAUAUUGGCACGCAGCAUACUGAACAUGCAGUAGGUAUUAGAUAUUGGCAAUGUAGCUACGCUUACUGUAACUGUACUGCUUUGAAGUCCAGGUUUGAUUCCCAGGGACAUGUGAUUACUCAGGGUCCCUUUGGUGUGGUUUGAUGCUUGAAUUUAGAUGUAGGUAGAUAGCAAAGUAGAUAUAUUGAGAGAGAGCGAGCGAGAAAGAGAGAGCGAGAGAGAGAGAGAAAUAAUCUGGCGUAGCAAAGAUACAGUAGAGAAGACACUCUCAGAGUAGUGAGUUUUGAGGCUUUUGAAUAGAAAACAGACCAACACACCCACACUAUAUUCCCCCUGGAGGCCUCUCUCUGCUUGUGACAUAUCCAGUGGCUUCACACACAGUGUUUCACACAAUAUUAUUGACAGCAGUGUGAUUCAUAUUGCUCCUCAAUUGGAAGUGCAGUAGGACCCAGUGGACCAACAGAUUGGCAUAAUACCACUGACUGACAGGAGAGAUUGUCAUCAACGACUGGUGAACCUUUCACUGUGGCUGGCGGCCCCACGGACCCAAUCUAACACUAUGCUGUCUCACAGGUGAAUAGAGGUGUCAAUAUAGAAUCUACAGUAUGACUCGAUCUGUACUGUUUUUCCACAGCAGGGGACACUGGUAGAGUGAAGGAAGAUAAUAUAAGAAUGUAAAGCUGAAUAACGUUACAGACAUAAAUAUGCAAAACAUUCAAUGUUCUUCUAUUGUUUUUGUUAUGAAUAUUAUUCUCUUUUUUGAAAUCAGUAUUUUUUUGUAAACGGUUUCUUGUUUUAGCACUUAUUAGAUGUAAUAUGCACACUCAAAGACUGUGCUAUACAAGUGCCUGUGUACAGAGUCAGGUGUCUUUGAGUUAUGUUCAGAACACUUUCUGUUCUUCUUCUUCUGUUUUUAUUCUCACUUGUUGUAUGACCUGUGUUUUGUUUCAUCAUUUGAGUGUUAAUGAAGGUUUCAGGAAGUAUAGGCCAUAGGUUAAAACAUACUACUAAUGUUGUUGAAAUCCAUAUAGCAUCAUCUACGUACCUGCCACAUGCUGUGGUCCUAUUUUACCGACCACAAUAUACUCUAUCUACAGUGCGAAAGUGGCAAUAUGUGAUGAGCAUGACCAGUAUGUUUUACAUGUUCAGUUUGUCCAGAGGUUGUGGACAGACAUGCCAUGUAUGAGGAGGAAUCACUAUGAUUCUCUAUGGUAAUAUCCAAGAUAUAAUGAAUCCCCACAGAAACUUCAGACCCCGUCCCCCCAAAAGCUGAAUGUUACAUGUACUUACCUACUAGUAAAAUGCAUUGUGUAAAUGUGAAUUUCUUAGAGUUGUUACAAUAUAUAAAUACACUAUAAAAUUGAAAAAGCAAAGAAAUUAGUUAUCUGAUAGAAUAAAAACAAAUGUAAUUGCACCUUUGUCAAGUCAUUUGUCCUCGAUACUGAAUGUUGAUAAUGUAGCAAGUCAGUUGAUGGAUUGUCAUUCUCUACAUUGUUGCUUGGGAAGAAAUAUAGUGGACACAAUACACUGAAAUAUGCUUCUUCGCUUUAAAACAUUAAAAUUGCCAAUGUUUAAUACUGGUAGUCGGCUAUCUCUCCCGGGAAAUCCUUGAUUAUAAAAAUAUUGGACAGCACCCAGUACAAACUCUCCCGACCCUCAUCUAUAACUGUUUUUUUAACAACAGUUACAGGAAUAAUCUCCGUGGGUUUGUGUCUCAUUGACAGUUUUGGCUUUCUGUAUGAAAAUACCCAAAAGGUUCCCCUUUAGAAUUACCCCGAAAGUAUUUCUGAA
rnacentral:lncRNA from 1 species